rnacentral:lncRNA from 1 species
GGACGAGUAGAAUCAUGCACUCGACGAGUAGGAGCGUGAUGGGCAGUUUUUCGUGUUUUCUUGUUGGAAAUGGAUUUAAAUCAUUCUCGCAAUCUGUUUUGGACUUGUAAAAUCUGUUUUUCAAAAUGUUAAUGAUUAUGGUAACCCAUUUUACAUGACUUUUAUCAAUUUUCAAGUAUUGUAUACGUUUAUAUGAUUUCUUGAAAUUUCUUGACAUGAAUUUGUGUUCUUAUGAGUUUUUAGAAGAUCAUAGGAAUUAUGUGUAACCUCCAUGUGUGUUUAAUUCAUGAUCUUAAUGGCAAUGAUGGUGUCCAUAACUUGUCCUCAAGUUAUGGAUAACCAAAAGUCACUUCUUUAAAUUGUGAUUAAAGAACUAAAGAGGUUUCAUAAAAUGAAGAGUCUUCAUUUUUAUGAACCAUUAAAACUCAUAAGUUACAAAUUGAAGAGACUUGGAAUAGUUUCAAUUCUUGCCCUCAAGUUUUGGAAUUUGAAAAGUCUUACACUCUAAUACUUUAAUUCCAAAUUAAACCUUAGAUUUUUAAAAAGUUUAAAAAUCAACACUUAUACUAUUAUUAUAAUUUUAUUAUAUAGAUAUGUAUAAGAAUAUGUCAUUCUUACCGUUAGUAGGCCUCAUUCACGAAGCCGGUCUAUAAGGGGGGUAUAAGGUUGUUGCCUAUAAAAUGGUGACUUAAUGGGUGUCCACUCUCACCCACCGCUUCCUUGAUCGGUGGAGGGUCGUUAGCCGAACGGGUAGGAUACGACUUUAAAUACUCAUUAAAAGUAUAAUGAAUUAUAAAGUAACUAUACAUUAUAAAUUCCCAAUCUUAGUUACUUUAGGAAAAUGUGAAAUUGGUGCUAGCCCAUAAAAUUACACUUUGUACCUUACCAAGUCGUUAGUGGAGCGUGUGUGGUUAACCGGCACACUAACAUGGACUAGUAAGAGUGGCAAAGGGUAACUUGACUUUAUUAUAGAUCGGUGGAGCGUGUGUGGUUAACCGGCACAUCGAUUAGGUAAUAUUGUUGAGGGUACCAAGUCAAUUUGUAUGGUUAUUCACACCUUGUUUGUGAUCCUCGGCAUCCCAGUCACAAACUUGAGAGGGCACAAUCGAGAUUCAAACAUGCCAUUGAAAGUUCAAUGUAUCUCAAAAGAUCUAGGAGUUUCAAAUCCAAUUAAAACUUAAUUAUAUUUCGUUUUUCAUGGUGGAAAUUGGUAAAUCGUCAUUUACCUACCUUUAACUAUUUUAUAAUUUGGAUUACGGCAUCCCUCUUCCAGUUAUAAAUAGGUUAUUGGGUCCUAGCCUUAAUAUUUCAUAUUGGGUGUUAUAUUAAGGACUUUAAAUCAACUAACUUGAAUUUCUCCCAUUAUAGAUGUCUAGUUUAGACAGCUAUGGUCUUCCCAAAUCUUUAGGAAGAAGCUUCCUAAUGAAGAUGAUAUCCCAAAUGGCAACCAAGGUGAAAGAUCAAUCCCUUUGUUGUGCAUUAGUGGGACUGGAAAUCAUACUUCACUUCCUCCACCUCCUCCAAUAAAUCUCCCUAUCCCACAAGUUUCAAGACCUGAUAAGUUCUAAGUCACUCAAUCCCUAUUGGCAAACAAAGUCUAUAUGUGCUUAGGUCUUGGAGAUUAAGUCACAUAUUGACAAGCCGGGAGAGUCGGGUGUCGAAGUCUCAAGGUAGCUGGCUGUUGACUUGGUCACUCCCUGAUGACAGAUCACGACAUGACCCUUAAUGAUCUUACCUAUUUGCUUGAUGAUGCUGAAUCAGCAAUGAUUUGGAGCAUUGGUAAAGCAAAAUUUGUUUGAAAGAUCAACUUCCCAAACUUCCAUGGACAUUGACAAUGGUAACAUUGGAAGUCCAGAAAACCUUUCUCUUCCAAAUAGAAAGGGAUUGGCCAUAGUCAACUCGGUUGACCAAAUGGUAAAGAGAAAGGCUAAGUCUGUGAUAUUCUCGGGUAUCGUUUCCAAAGAGUCCAUAUGUUUCUAUUGCCAAAGGAAGGGCAUUGGUUGCGAAGCUGCCAAAUUUACCUAAAAGUCCAUAAGGAUAGUAAAGUCAAAUGUUUGACUCUACUUCAGGUAGAGUCCAUUGUCUAACUCUAUUAAGUUUCUAUUCUGAGAUUCUUAUUGCAUGAUGUGACUGGGUCACAUGUUGAUGUUUUAAGAAUCAAAGAAAAGUGAAGAAACUUAAAGGAAGUAUAUGCUGAUUCUAAUCACGAAGAGAAAUUUUGAUCGCAUGGUUCGGUGAUCAAAAUUUUGAGCUAUUACUUAAGAGUUGAAACAUAUUGCUUAGGAAUAGCUAACAACAAGGUUUUCAUAUGGGUUGUAAGGAUAAGUUUUCCACAAAGUUUUAAAAUAAAAGAAAAAUGGUUUUGGUUUUAUUUAUUCAAAGUAUCCUUACAAUGGCAUUUGUGAAAAAUGUUGUUGCUUAUAUGUAUCCAUUGAUAAGCAAUAUGGGUAAAUGGAUUUGACUCUUUCAUUAGUGGUAGUGUCAUAAUUUACCAAAUAAGGAAAGAUUCUCAUCACCCAAGUUUCAGUUGGAUAGAAACUUGGAAUCAUGCAACUUGUAUUGUAUGAUGAAUGUGAAGUUUUCAUAUUUGGGAAAUUAAGACUAAUUCCUUGUUCACUUGUACAUGUGAGUCAAGUGAAGGACUAAAAGAUUGGGUACACUUGGUUGUGUGCUGGUCAGGUCCACCACAAAGGUUGAUAAGAUUAUUCAUUAUGAUUUACUAAAGUUUACUAAAUAUGGUUAUACUUACAAGCUUAAGUAUAAUUCUGGAUCAUUGAAGAGUUUCAAUGAUAGAUAAAAUGAGUAAGAAGAAUCGAAUAAGGCAGAAAUAUAAAAGUUUUUCCAAUCUGAAGAGAUGGGAGAGUACUUGUGUAUUUUGUUUUAUGAUUAUCUUAGUGAUUAUGAAACCAUAUCACAAUUGAUCCUCUAAGGACACCUUAGUGUGUUUGUUGCCUAAGGAGAGGAAUCGUAAAUUGUUGAAAUGGUUAAAUCAAAAGAUAAUUAAUACUUCGUUCCAAAAACAAAUCCUGGAGUUAUACUCCAAGAUUGUAACUUGAGUGACAUAGUCUUUAGAAAGUCCAUAACACUUGUCAAAUGUAGAGUAAGAUGUGUCCUAGUCUCAUACAUUUGAGGUUGGUUAGUUGUGAUGUUUUGCAUAAAACAAAAACCAACUAAGUCCAAUUAUGGGACGUGUUUAACUUGAUUAGAAUCCACAAUAACUAUUGAAUAUUUGUUUUUGUCAAGGAAUGGUUCUUGACAAAGAGAAUCAUAUAUGUCAAGAGGUCAGUGGGAGUCUUAAAAAGAUCUUAAGAUAGGUUCAAGAACUAAUCAAGAGAUUUGUUAAUCACUAGCCCACGACUUGAUGUUUGUAACCUAUCGUGUUGACAUAUUUUGUGCUCAUCCCAGUUAAGGUCGGCUUUGCAUUGGAGUUCUGAAAGUUCUCGAUUGUUUGCAUAACAACCUGGAAGCAAUGGUAGGCCCUGUGCUGCCGGGUGGCAAGAAAUUAAGAUUGCACACGUUCAGUCCAUAUGAAUUUGGAAGUGUCGCUAACCUAGUCCUGUGAUUAUGGUUUUGACAAAAUUCACAUGGAAAAGAACACAUACACCAUAAAACAAAAUACACAAGUACUCUCCCAAACCUGAACGGCGGAAACGUUCGGGGGCGGAUGACUUCAUGUGGUAGCGUAACAAAUGAAUACAUAGUAAAGAAAGCAAUACAACCAUCAUAUAUAAUUGAAAGUUUACAUUUGUCAAAAGUUACAUGUUCAAAACCAAUUACAAUAUGAUGUCAAAAUAUGAGAUUAAACUGGCGCCGCAACAUCCCUUCAUCAAAAGCAUAAUGAUACCUGAAAUUACUGAUUCCCUGGGACAUACAAGUAAUUUUGAAAGAGUAGAUCAGCAUUUAAGCUGGUGAGUUUCAUAAGUAUUUAAAUGACAAUGUUUGUAUGAAAUGAAAUGUUUUGUCUUUGUUUGUUUGUGUUUAGAAAAUCCUAUAUUUUCUACUAGUAUAAAAGUAGCCUUCACUCAAGACCAAUGUUUGUUUCUAANCAAAAUACGAGAUUAAACUGGCGCCGCAGCAUCCCUUCAUCAAAAGCAUAAUGAUACCUGAAAUUACUGAUUCCCUGGGACAUACAAGUAAUUUUGAAAGAGUAGAUCAGCAUUUAAGCUGGUGAGUUUCAUAAGUAUUUAAAUGACAAUGUUUGUAUGAAAUGAAAUCUUUUGUCUUUGUUUGUUUGUGUUUAGAAAAUCCUAUAUUUUCUACUAGUAUAAAAGUAGCCUUCACUCAAGACCAAUGUUUGUUUCCAAAAUGUAUGUAAGUGUAAAAUAACCAAUGUGUUUGAAAACCUUGUAAAUCAAUGCAUUUUUAAUACCCCUUGUGAGUUUUAUAACCAUACUAUUGACUCGGAAUGCCUAUACACAACGUUCUUCAGGCAUUGGAAUGUUAUGACGUUUGUCACCCCAAACGGUGGACUGCAGCUAACAGUCAGGGCGCGGGUUGUCAAGCCCGUAUAGAUCUAUACACAAACACCAUGCUCCCCCUCCAAGGGAUUCUGGUAUAUAAUACAGGACUUGAAAUGUGUACUCGAACGUACAUGAAGUUAGUGUCUCACAAAACCGUGGUAUAAAAACAGAUCUACUUGUUAAAAUGUUACGUUUGUUCUUGUAUACGAAAGUGACUUCUUGAAAUUCAUGUUUCUAGUACAUAAGAGUUAGAAAUUUGUUCGUAAAACUAUACCUAUUAUAGUUUUCUAAAAGUGUGUCUCGUUUGUUUAGAAAUACCUAGAAAAGGAAUCAUUUGUUAUGAAAGCAUAGAUUUUUGGUGUAGAGUCUAAGAUAGACAAGUAUACAUAAAAUCUAAGAAAAAUUUAGUUUAUACAUGCAUUACAACAGUUUAUAUUUCAACAGAUAGAAUGCUAUUGUAACAUAUGUUAUAUAUAUGAAAGUUCUCNNNNNNNNNNNNNNNNNNNNNNNNNNNNNNNNNNNNNNNNNNNNNNNNNNNNNNNNNNNNNNNNNNNNNNNNNNNNNNNNNNNNNNNNNNNNNNNNNNNNUUUCUGGAACCAUAAAAUAUUUUUCAAACAAAACAAAUACAAACCGUUUUUCAUACAAAAUGAUUAUGAAUUAACCAACAUUUAAUGUUGAGGAUUUCAAAUGAUUUGUAUUCUCAGGGAACCAGUAAGCAGGUACUUAAGUCAUCGGAACUGGAUUUUUGUUGCAUUUUGGAAUCGUUACUUUUUAGUUAAUAUUGUGUAAACUUUGAACAAAUACACUAUGUAACAAUGUAAGUUUGUAUCUCUUAAUGCAUGUGUGUGAGUUUCUAUAGUUGGAUAAAGUGUCUAUGUCUAUAACUUUAUUUGGUAUGUACUUGACCCGACCCGGCAUGGUCCAUUUGGGUUGCAUGGCAUUGCAAUACUUGGAUAGACUAAAUGAGAGAAUAAGGCACUUAUGAUUAUUAAUAUAUUAUAAGUUCUAAUAUAUUAAUAAUAGUAUUAUUUAAUUAGUAUUGAUCAAGUAUUAAUCUAGUAUUAAUUUGGUGAUCAAAGUGAGACUAAUUAAAUAUAUAGGGUUGAUUAUGACAAUCAUCAAUUCUUUUAUGGUGGAUUAAUGAUCCAUGGUUUAUGGGUUAUGGAUGUAACCAUUUGGAGCUCCAUGGAUAGUCCAUGGGAGUUACAAACCCAUGGGUCAUGAGAAAUGAAGAGUCAUGACAAUUAUGGGUCUUCUUAAUGAAACCCUAAUUGUGACACCACUAUAAAAGGGACCCUUUGGCUAGCAAAAUCGGUACCUAGUGUUACUAGAGAGGGCAUAACUGAUUUUGAGUGCUAGAAGUUUUCUCUCAAGUUAUUCCAAGUUUUGGUGGUGUUGUGGGAAGAAUUUGAGGCAUAACAUUUGGGGUGCUAGGCUCACAAAGUCUUGAAGGAAUCCAAGCAACAACAAGGUAUGUAUUUCUACUAGUUUUAUACUUUAUUUAUUCCCCAUGACAUGCUAGUUAGGAAAUAACCUUGAAAAAGAAAUUUGCAUGUAUAUAGAGAAAACAUAGAUUCAAGGUUAUUAGGGUAGCAUGUACACUUAGAAAGUGUUAGAAUGCUCAAAACCCAUCAGUGGUAUCAGAGCCUAGGAUUGUUUUCUGUAUACUUGAUGCAAAACUGCUUGAAAAUCGAAAAUUCUGCUCACUGUCGACUGGACUCGCCGAGUUCAUGGGGAGGACUCGCCGAGUCCAUGUACAAAUUCAUCCUACUCGUCGAGUAGGAUCAUGCACUCGACGAGUAGGUGCGUGCUGGGCAGUCUUUUCGUGUUUUGUUGCUGGAAAUGGAUUAAAAUCAUUAUCCCAAUCUGUUUUGGACUUGUAAAAUCUGUUUUUCAAAAUGAUAAUGAUUAUGUUAACCCAUUUUGCAUGACUUUUAUCAAUUUUCAAGUAUUGUAUAUGUUUAUAUGAUUUCUUGAAAUUGCUUGACAUGAAUUUGUGUUCUUAUGAGUUUUUAGAAGAUCAUAGGAAUUAUGUGUAACCUCCAUGUGUGUUUAAUUCAUGAUCUUAAUGGCAAUGAUGGUGUCCAUAACUUGUCCUCAAGUUAUGGAUAACCAAAAGUCACUU